UACGAAGGGGGCUAGCGUUACUCGGAUUGACUGGGCGUAAAGGGCGCGUAGGCGGUUUGUACAGUCAGACGUGAAAUUCCUGGGCUCAACCUGGGGGCUGCGUUUGAUACGUGCAGACUUGAGUUCGGAAGAGGGUCGUGGAAUUCCCAGUGUAGAGGUGAAAUUCGUAGAUAUUGGGAAGAACACCGGUGGCGAAGGCGGCGACCUGGUCCGAUACUGGCGCUGAGGCACGAAAGCGUGGGGAGCAAACAGG
rnacentral:rRNA from 1 species